CGGUGAAUACGUUCCCGGGCCCUGUACACACCGCCCGUCAAACCACGAAAGUUGGCAGUGCCCGAAGUCCCGAUCCCAACCGUAAGGAGGGUAGGGCCUAAGGUAAGGCUAGUGAUUGGGGUU
rnacentral:rRNA from 1 species